UCGCACGAGAACGUUCUGGCUUUGCCAGGACAAGUACAGUGGCGGACGGGUGCGUAUCGCGUAGAUAACCUGCCCUUAGGCGCGGGACAAUCACGGGAAACCGUGGCUAAUACCGCACGUCGUCUGGGCCCCGCAUGGGGACCAGAUGAAAGCUUGGGGUUACCCAGGCGCCUUGGGAUGGGUCUGCGUUGGAUUAGCUUGUUGGUGAGGCAACGGCUCACCAAGGCAACGAUCCAUAGCUGGUCUGAGAGGACGAUCAGCCACACUGGGACUGAGACACGGCCCAGACUCCUACGGGAGGCAGCAGUGGGGAAUCUUGCACAAUGGGGUCACCCCUGAUGCAGCCAUGCCGCGUGGAGGAAGACACCCCUAUGGGGCGUAAACUCCUUUUCUGAAUGAAGAAACCCCUGUAGGUUCAGGGCGCGACGGUAGUUCAGGAAUAAGCACCGGCUAACUCCGUGCCAGCAGCCGCGGUAAUACGGAGGGUGCAAGCGUUGUCCGGAAUCACUGGGUGUAAAGGGUGUGCAGGCGGGGCAACAAGUCGGAUGUGAAACCCCAUGGCUCAACCAUGGAGGUGCAUUCGAAACUGUUGCUCUUGAGUCCCGGAGAGGCUGUCGGAAUUCGUGGUGUAGCGGUGAAAUGCGUAGAUAUCACGAGGAACACCAGAGGCGAAAGCGGGCAGCUGGACGGGUACUGACGCUCAGGCACGAAAGCGUGGGGAGCAAACAGGAUUAGAUACCC
rnacentral:rRNA from 1 species